AGAGUUUGAUCCUGGCUCAGAGCGAACGCUGGCGGCAGGCCUAACACAUGCAAGUCGAACGGACCCUUCGGGGUUAGUGGCGGACGGGUGAGUAACACGUGGGAACGUGCCUUUAGGCUCGGAAUAGCCCCUGGAAACGGGUGGUAAUGCCGAAUGUGCCCUUCGGGGGAAAGAUUUAUCGCCUUUAGAGCGGCCCGCGUCUGAUUAGCUAGUUGGUGAGGUAAUGGCUCACCAAGGCGACGAUCAGUAGCUGGUCUGAGAGGAUGACCAGCCACAUUGGGACUGAGACACGGCCCAAACUCCUACGGGAGGCAGCAGUGGGGAAUCUUGCGCAAUGGGCGAAAGCCUGACGCAGCCAUGCCGCGUGAAUGAUGAAGGUCUUAGGAUUGUAAAAUUCUUUCACCGGGGACGAUAAUGACGGUACCCGGAGAAGAAGCCCCGGCUAACUUCGUGCCAGCAGCCGCGGUAAUACGAAGGGGGCUAGCGUUGCUCGGAAUUACUGGGCGUAAAGGGCGCGUAGGCGGACAUUUAAGUCAGGGGUGAAAUCCCAGAGCUCAACUCUGGAACUGCCUUUGAUACUGGGUGUCUUGAGUGUGAGAGAGGUAUGUGGAACUCCGAGUGUAGAGGUGAAAUUCGUAGAUAUUCGGAAGAACACCAGUGGCGAAGGCGACAUACUGGCUCAUUACUGACGCUGAGGCGCGAAAGCGUGGGGAGCAAACAGGAUUAGAUACCCUGGUAGUCCACGCCGUAAACGAUGAUUGCUAGUUGUCGGGCUGCAUGCAGUUCGGUGACGCAGCUAA
rnacentral:rRNA from 1 species